CUUUUCAGAAAACUUGGGUGUCUCAGCGCGCCCCUCCCCUAGCCCCGGAAAAAGGGGAAGCAGCCGCGGCUGGAGAUGAUGCGGGAGUUAGCUAUCCUGUAGGUGCCUCUAGCCAGGCACUAAGCAGUUAGUGAGGAGUCACUUAAAAGAGCGGCUCCCCAGAGUCCUAAAAGACCAACAAGAGCAGAAUGUACUCGAGACACAUGGGAGAUACAACUUAACUUGAGGGUUUCAUUAAUGAUGCU
ensembl:processed_transcript Gm16127 predicted gene 16127